UUGAUCACACUUCUUUCCAUCUCCCGCCUCUAGUUCCUUGAACUACGAAGCUCUGAAUUCCUUAUUGUACUAUGAGGAUACGUAGGCAUGAGGGCAUCAAUCCUCAUCGAACACUUUAUCUAUUUCUCUUCCUUUUCCCAUUCUUUUGCGAGUAAUCUUUAGAUAUCACACCUAUUCGAGCGAGAACAAUCGAAAUGGAGUACCAUGGAUGUUUGGGGUGCUAAUAUUUUCCCCUUGCAUAACCGACUUCCUUA
rnacentral:lncRNA from 1 species